AGAGGACCCAACUCAUCUGAGAAGUAAAGUGGCCGGAUGACAAGUUAUUAAAGUUAUUACUGAUGUAGGUGAAGGCUGAUGUUGGGUUUUUGGAUGAUUUUUCUUGUGUUUUUAAGUAUUUGUGAUAUUCAGUCCCAAAACUAUGCCGAUCAUAUGCUCUUUUUUUGUUAUAAUUAGGAUAAUGUGAUUUUGUUUCCAAGUUAUAUUUCAUUUUGUCACAGCCUUGUUUCUUGUGGAUACUUUCUUAUCACCUCUAAUUUCCGUGGAUUAGCUUUCAUAACUGUCAAAAGCUCGAUUAAUCUCACAAGUGUCCAUGAGUGAUCGGUAAAUUUUUUUGCAUCAUCGCCAUUUUUAUCUAUUGCCUUCUCUCCCCUAAUGAAGUAAAAGAAGAAUUUUAUCACUUGCUCCAAUGGAAUUAACGCACCAGCUGUGGGAAUGUAGGUGUGCUGUAUUUGUUUGGUUUUUAUUCUGUCAGCAACUUAAGGAGUUUUGAACGAGAAGAUGAGGUAGUUGGCUUAAGUUGAUUUGGCAUUCUUCACUAAUUGUGUGGUUCUCGGAAAACUAGACUAAAGGUUCUGUCUGGCAAUGCUGGCAGUUUUAGUAGUGGUUAGAUGUUUUAGGAGAGCGGAUAACUGUUAGCUGUUCUAAAUUCUUAUCAUAAUCUACUUUUUCAAUAUAUUAGAUUUCUGACUUUGCUAAAAUAGCAAACACAUUUAGCAAACACUAUUGCCGAGAGGUGGUGGAUUGAAAACGUGGCUGGGAUUAACCGCAAUGGAAUAUAACUGGCAUUUUUCAGUACUGUGUGAACAACACAUCCCAUAAAAGAAAAUUGAGCCGCAAUGUUAUAUUAUUCUAUAAAAAUGUGUGAAGCCAGCCGUCUAAAUCCAUGGAGUCACAAGCUGGAUGUUCCGGUGAAAGAAAAUCAUUUAUAAGAAGAUUAAACCAGCAGCAUACGUGUGUCACCAAGAAGCUAGACCUGUGAAGAACCGGAAAUGAUGCAUCAAAUUUGAAAUUGGAUAGGUCGAAUGGUUUUAAUACAGGAUUCUAAUUGUAACCGUUUAACAGUGCUCGCUUACGUGCAUCCUUCGUUGAACUAUGACCAGAAUCAGCUUGGAAUAGUCUGGUUUUAAAUGGAAACUGGUUUGAUUUAAUUUUUUUUCUCGUUAAUUAGAUUGGUUGACAAAGGUUCCAUAUAAUUCUUUUACUAAAUCUAAGCUUUAUAAGUUUAUGAAUUCUAAUAUAUAGAAUGUUAAUUUCAUUUUAAUUUUAAAAAAUUUAAAAUUCAAGAUAAAUUAGAAUCAAAACCGAACGAAUUGAAACAGUCUAGACUGUAAUAAUCUUUUAAUCUACACUUGUUUCGAACUAAACUCAAUUCAAACAAUGAAGCUGAAGGAACAACCCACUUUGGAUAAAUAAAUCAUAUCGGAAAUCAGCCCGUGGACGGGUUUACAAUAGGCAACGUGGGCUUUGUGCUACAAGCAUGCACUUUACCAAGGAACUUGACUGUUGUGCUCCCAUUCCACUGCCUCCUGCAAUUGAAACUACAUUGUUAUUAGAACCUUCAGUUUAAAAUUAAAAUAUUAAUUGCACUUAAAUUUAAUUUUAUAUUAAAAUAAUUUGAAGAAAAUCUAUUGUAAGUUCCUUUGAUUUUUUUAUUUCGUAAAAGAAAAACACAUUUUAAUCUACUUGCAUCAUACCUUUUUUUGACUUUGGGCGUCCAAGUGAAUUAGAUAUUAUAAGAAAUGAUAAAAAUACAAAUACUUUAAUUUUUUAAUUAAUAAUAAAUAAUUGUCGUCAAUGUGAUAUAAAAAUAAUGUUUGCUAUCAAACAAUAAAUAUAUAAAAGAGAGAAGAAAUAACAGUGCAUGUUCCUCCCCUCCUUUGGUUGAUGUUGUCUUUUCUUUAAUUUUGUGGAUUACUUCAAUUUAAAGUAUUGUGUUGUUCUAUUGGAGGGAUUUGCACUCUGGGUCCUGUUUGAAUGGAGUUUGGAGGUUUGUGUCAAUGGACUGCAAUUUGCAUGUGUGAUAGUGGUAGCAGCUACAAUGAUAAUUUUAUCAGACUGACUGUCGGCCUCUAUGUUUUUCCACAGAUUUUUCUUAAAGUGCCUAUGAGUUUGACUCCAUCAUCCCAUCGAUCCUUUCUCGGAGUUUUUCAUCUACUUGUCCUCUAUUUUUGGUGCCUUAUGCCUUGUGCUAAUGGUUCUUUGCUGAUUGAGGUGGCGAAACUUGCUGAUUGCAGUGGCAAUGUCGUGGUUGGUACUGGUUGGGUGUCGAUUGCUUCUGCAUUGUUUGGUGGUUGCGUUGGUCCAUCAAUUUCGCUCUGUGCUUUGUCUUGGGUUGCGCUUUCUUCCUCUUUUGUGCCGGAUAUAGCUACGUAUUUUGAUAGAAGCAAAUAGAUUGUAAAAAAUUUAUGGGCUUGUCAUUUGGAUCCUAUUCUGUAUGUGUAUAUAUUCAGUUUGGACUAUCAAAUUUUUUUUUUUUAUGCAAGUAAAAAAAAAGACUAAUAUAUUUUAAAGAUAGAAAAGAAAUUAAACAUAAAAAAUAUGAUAGCUGUUGUAAAUAAUAUAUUUUUAAUAUUAAGAAAGAAAACUAUUACAUGUUAAGUUUUACUUGAAAUAAAGUGAAAUUUAACGAAAUAAUAAAAUAAGAUACAACAUUUUUUUGUGAUUUCUUUUAUCUCCAUAUGAUCAAAAUAAUAAUAAAGACAUUUAUUUAGAAUUAUUUUCUACAUUUUGGACGUCAUUAACUAAAAUCUCUCUUUUUCAUCACAGGAAAAAAAAACUAAAAUCUGGGGAAAAUUUUCAAUUAUUUUCUUUUAAACAAAAAUGGAGGCCUAGACGAUGACGUUUUAAAGUCAGAUAGUAGCAGAAGUAUAUGGGACCCAGGCAUCAACAACCAGCUAAGUGUAUGCCACGUGGAAAUAAUACGACGUCAACGGCGUGAAGGAAAGGGAAAGCGGCUUCCCUCUCCGUCGUUGAUCAUACAACACGCUUAAGAAAAGCCGGGACAAAACCUGCCCCCUUUCUCCUUCCCCUUCCCCUUCCCCUUCCCCCUCCCCCUCCCUCCUCGAUCUCUGCUCUAAUAAAAAACUCUUAUUAGUCAAUUAGAUUUCUACUGAAAAUCCGUAUAACCAAUUUCAGAGGUCUGUGCUUUUGAUGAUAAUCUCUCUCUCUCUCUCUCGGUUAUCUUAAAAUUGGGGAAUUUAGUCUCUUAAUGGCCCCAAAUUAUUAAUUAUAAUUUUUUUCGCUUGAUCGGUAUCGAUUUUUGGAAUCCGGUUUUGUUCGAUCUAAUAUCGUUGAUUCUGUUUGUGACUCAGAAAAUCGCAGCAGCGUUUUAAAUUUCGGGUAGGAGUAAACCAUGUUUAACCGGCUGUUUGGAAAACCUAAGCAGGAAACGAGUGCUCUAGCUACGUUAGACAAACUAAAUGAGGUAUGUUCACAAUUGAAUUUUUCUAUUUUACAUAUUUUCAUUUCAUAAUCUUCAAUUUUGGUUUUUUGGUACUUGGGGGAGGGGGUUUAUUGAUUAUGAGGUGACUUGAGAAAAUUGAUCUUAUGGAUUCUUGGAUUCCCAGCAAAUCCUUGGCAGUUUGAGACGAUGUUCAUUAUUAACAAAUUUUCAACUUCAUAUGUUGAUAUUUAAAUCCUUUAUUUUUGAAACCAUCAUGUACAGCCUACAGUGUCAUACUGCUAUGGUCUUCCUAACAACAAUGACUAGCAUUCAUGGGUACAACAUCACAUAGCAGUUGAUAUAAAACAAUUAUUUCGUAUAUUUGUUUUUUAUAGGAUGUAUGAUAUUGAUGUUGACCCUUUUUCUUAUUGACUCCGAUUUCCUAUUUUGCUGUCGCGUUUUUGUUCUAACAAAGGUGUAAAUUCUUUUGCAUUGAAUAGACACUUGAAAUGCUAGAGAAAAAGGAGAAGGUACUUGUUAAAAAGGCUGCUGCUGAAGUUGAAAAGGCCAGAGAAUUCACCCGGACAAGGAACAAAAAGGGUAUGAUUUUGCUGUAUUCAAUUUUUUUUAAUUUAGUUUUGCUCUGUUGGAAAUCAAUAAUAGGAUGUUGCGAGUCUCAUCAUGGACAGUCUUUCUUUGCAAUAUUCUGAUUUUGGAAAAAAGUUCCUUCCAGUGUCCUUUAUAUCACAGUUGAAACUCCAACAAUGAUAAUAGUUGCUUGGAAAAAAAAAAGAGUAACAAAAUAUAUCUAGCCACAAGUUAAUGUAGGCUGUGAUAGCAAGGCGCAGGGAGAAAAUUCCCUUUUUAAAAUCCAUCUUGAUGGGGCCAUGUUUAAUAGGCUAUCUGGAUGUUAUAAAUUCCAUUGAUGCUCGGGCAAAACUGAAACCAGCUAUGGAGAGGAUUUUCUUAUGGCAAAUACAGGUCGUUUUGACCCUUCACUCUCUUCAAAGUAUGUUUGUUGAAUAACAGUUAUUAAAGGCUCAAAGCAUACAAAGACGCAAAGGGAUCUUUAGGCCUAAGAGCAAGGCACAAGGCACAAGGUGUAGGCGUGUGCUUGAAUGAAGUGAGGCCCAAAAAAUUAAAUUAAUAAAAUACCAAUUUUGAUAACCAAGGAAAAAGAGGGCAUAAAUAACAUCUAAAUAUUUAUUUUCUUUAGAUAUAUAUGGUAUAUAAUCAAGAGAUAUAUUACUUCACAAAAAUAUAAUAAAUGACUCGCAUAGCAUUGUCAGUGAUAUAUAAAAACUUAAAAGGAUAAGUUCAAAUAAAAUAGAGAAAAAGGAGUAUGAAAGGCAGUUAAGAUGAGAGAUAAUGAGAGAAUAUUGAAAAAAUGUAUGAUGAUGGAGAAUAAAAGCAACUAGUUGUCACUAGUGAUGCUAACUUUGAAACUUCUUAGUCAUCAUUGUUGGGUUGUAUUAGCAAAUUUCAAGUCAAAGUUUUAGUUUUUCUUUUUGUCCUUCAAUGGAAGUACUUGCCAAAGGUGAAAUAAAGGUGCGUCUUAUUAGAGACUUGUGCUUGGAACAAGGCAUACACCUAGGCAUUUAAGCAUUUAAGGCAUUAGGUUAGAGCUUGGUGAGCCUUGAGCCUGAGUUGUGCCUUUAAUAGCUAGGUUGGUUAAUGAUACUUGGACAUGGGAAUUAACCCUUUAAAUUAGUGAGGAAAAUUUUUUUAAAUGCUUUUGAACAUGGCCAAACUCAAUUCCACCAUCCAUUAUUUGAUAUCCACCAGAGUCCAUGUAACAUAUAUGAUAACUUUAUCAUCGGGGUAAAAUAUGAUAACUCAAAAUUUCAUGAAGAUGUGAAGUACUAUAAUAUAAUUUAGGUUGCUUACUGGUUGGUGUUGACUGAUACAAUUGUUGUGCAGCGGCUAUUCAAUGUUUGAAGAGGAAGAGGCUUUAUGAACAGCAAAUAGAGCAGCUUGGAAAUUUCCAACUGCGAAUUCAUGAUCAGGUGAGAUUUUGUAUGAAAAUUGCUAUCGUUUCAAAUUGUCAUAAUUGAUUUGUAGUUUAUUGCUAAUAUCAAACUCUUGUGCCGUGAAUCUCAAUGUCAAAGAUGAUAAUGUUAGAAGGUGCAAAAGCCACUACAGAAACUGUAGAUGCAUUGAGAACUGGGGCAUCUGCAAUGAAGGCAAUGCAGAAGGCAACGUAUGUCCAAUUUAUUACAUUCCUUGUCUGACUAGAAUUUUUAUAUUCUUGAUUCACAUCUCAUUUAGGUGUAAUAUAUUCUUUUCUUUGUUGCUGUUCUUAAGUUUUUUUUUUUAACUUGGCAAUUUAUGGAUGUCAUUUCUUAUUGCCAUGUUGCUUUCUGAAGUGUUAUUGGCCUGGGAACAACAUCUGUGAUUGCUCACUUUUCUUCACUUUAUUAAAGGGGUGGAUUUGUAAAAUAUAUGUGAAACAUGGGCUCUGGGUUUGUCCCAGUUUUAGUAGUAGUGUAAUUAGUUUACUCAGUGUGUUAAAAUGGUUGAUAUUUUUACAGAAAUAUUGAUGAUGUGGACAAGACAAUGGAUGAGAUCAACGAACAGACAGAAAAUAUGAAACAGAUACAGGAGGCACUGUCCACUCCCAUUGGUGCUGCAGCUGAUUUUGAUGAGGUUAGUUUUAUAUUUAACCAUUUUAAAUUUCUUUUGAGUUGAGCACUUGUUGCAAGAAGAUUUGCAUCAAGUUGUGCAUAAAUACAUUGGGGAAGCAUUUAUUGUUUGAUCUUUCAGGAUGAAUUGGAGGCGGAACUUGAAGAAUUAGAAGGUGCUGAAUUGGAAGAACAACUCCUUCAGCCUGCAACCACAGCUCCAGCAGCUCCAGUGCAGGUUCCGGCAGGAAGGCAACCAGCCCGCCCAGUUGCUCAAAAGCGCACAGCUGAGGAAGAUGAACUUGCCGCCUUACAGGCUGAGAUGGCACUUUGAGCAGGUUUUCAUUUGUUUUGUUAUAGACUUGGUAGUUUGUGAUUCACUGAUCUUCGUUCUUAUUAAUUCAUUUGAAAGCUUAAUUUGGUGAGCCCAUUACCUUAAAAAAAUGAUAGUAUGCUGGAUUUACCUACUGACUCGGAUUUCUCAAUGUUGUCUCUUAUACUUGCUUUACGCAUCAAAGUUGAUAUACGUUUGUUGGAUGAUUGCAGAUAUUUUUUACCAGAAUGUUGAAGAGCUUAUUUAAAGAUUGGUGAAUAGGAAUUUAUGCUGCUUUACGCAUCAUACGUGCAUUUAGUGGCUUGAGCAGAAUGUAUAUAAAGAUGGCUAAAGAAACUGUCUUGAUUAUGUAACCUGUGUUCUGAGAGUUUAUUCAGUUAUUUCUCCGUCUGUCCGCGCUCUCAAUGCGAACAACUUUUUUUUUCUUGCAAGUUUAAACUUUCAUCAUGUCACCUUGUUAUCCUUGCAUUGUCUAUUAGGCAAUAGUACAGAGCAAGGAAAUGUACGUAAUAUGAUAGUCUUUGUGGACGAAUAACAUUAGCCAUUACUUGGAAUAUUUAUUUCUGUUGUAUGCAUUUACUGUUUGGCAUGCUGGAGUAGUUUUCUAAGCGGUGUAUGGGAAAAUUAUAUUUGGGAAGUCUGUGAAGCAGGAUGUUUUUAUCCCCUGGAGCAACUUGUUAUUUGGUAUGAAAAUGAUUUCUUGGAUGAUGUAACCAGUUCCUGUUGAUUUACACUUUGUUUGGGAUGGAGUAAAGUGAGGUUUUUAAGAUUUAGUUUUAUAAGAUAAGGUAUUUUAUAUUUUUCAAAUUUUAAUAAAAUAAAUUAUUUGAGUAGAAAAUAAAAAAUUUUAAAGUAUUUGAAUGUUCUCAAGGAAAAAUCUUCUUAAUUCGCCCAAUUGGAGGGGUUGAAAUAACCUUAUUUUAGAAUCCUUACUCUCUUUCAAACACAAAAUUUAAAUUUUUUUUAGAUCUUAAAAAAUCUCGUCUCAAAUAUAGUGUUAUAGUGUUAGGGUAUGUAAUACUGUACAGUAUUGUUGUUGGUCUUGUACUUUGUUAAUUUUGGACGAGGGAAAAGCCUCAUUAGCUCAAGAUGGUCUCCCUUUGUGCGAGGCGACAAGCUAAAUUAUGAUGGAACCCCUAGAUCACCUGGUGCAAUUUUUUCAAAUUUUUUUCAAUUCAUUUUUUUUUUUCUGGAAUUUGCAUCAAAUGGUAACUGAAUAAGAACGAAAAUAGAGAGAGGAAGAGGAAGAGGAAGAAAAUAAAUAGAGAAAAGGACAUGGAGAGAGAGAGAGGAAGAGGAAGAAAAUAAAUAGAGAAAAGGACAUGGAGAGGGAAGUUCACGGUCGGAAGGAGAUAUCUAUCAUUGUUUGUUCUGGAUUUCAUUUCGAUUUUAUUUUUAUUACUUUGUUUUUAAUUUUAUUUUAGAGUCUCUCUAGAGCUCGUAGAGAGGUGUUUAUUAAAUCAAUGGCGUAGGUUAUUCCUACUUCCUGCAUGAAUAUCUUUUUUAUUUUUAUUUUUAUUUUAAAUAAGUUGCAAAAAAUGCUUAAUAAGUAUUGGUGAGGCGGUCAACGUGAGGGUAAAAGGGCAUUAAUUGGCUUAGGAUGUGUAGUAGCAAGAGAAAGGUUUAUAUGGAAUUUAGAGACUUUAGGAGUUUCAAUCUGGUUUUACUUGGCAAACAACCAUGGAGAUUCUUAACACUCUUUAUUAUAGAGUGUUCAAAUCUAAGUACUUCUUUAAUGGUGACUUAUUCUCUGCCAAUGUUAGCAAUACUGCUAGUUUUGUUUGGAGGAGUGUUAUGGCUUUUAGAGAUUUGCUUAGGCAUGACACUAGAUGGAGAAUUGGCAAUGUGUGUAGAAGGUGUUAGUUGCUACGGAUCCUUGAUAACCGAAGGAGAAUUCCUUUUAUGCGGAUGAUGGGACAGUUUUUAUUGACCCACAUGAAAAUUUGUGAUCUUUAGAAGAUAAUGGAAGGAAAUGGAAUACUGCUCUUCUCUUGGAUUUGUUUUCUAUUAGGGAUAUCCGAGCAAUCAUUAUUAUUUUCAUUAGUCUUAACUCUAGGGAAGACUCCAUGAUGUGGCAUUUUGACAAGAAAGGUUUGUGUACGGUCAAGUCAUCUUACCAUAUAUGUUUGGGCAUGGAGGGCAGCAUACUGAUUUGGGAGGUGAUUUAUGGGCUCGUUUGUGGAAGGUUUUGGUUCCUCAUAAGGUAAAGGACUUUUGUUGGAGGGCGUGUAGGAAUAUCUUGCUAACUAAGGAUAACCUGAAGCAUAAAGGGGUGGAAAUAGAUACUUGUUGCUUAUGGUACCAUGGAAACGAGAAUGUGGAUCACGAUCUUUUACAUUGCUCAUUGGCAAAGAAAUGUAUGAAGGUUAGGAGAUGAAAUGGUUGUGUAGCCUGAUAUUAAUUUUUAUGAUUUUUUACUCCAGGUUCUCAUGUCUCAAAACAAAGACUUUAUGGCCCUUGCUAUGACCUGUGAAUGGAAAAUAUGGGCAUUCAGGAACAAUUUAUUGUGAAACCAAAGGAUUUCUUCAACGAGGCAAAUAUGGGAGGAGCCAAGCUCUCUGUCUCGAACUGGGCAGCGGCGCAGCAAAUUGAGUUCAGCUCCAACGCGGUGGCUGUAUCAAGGCAUCAGUCAAGAGAGGUGGUCUACACAUCUCAUACAUCUUUUGAUCCUGAUUAUGCUCCCUCUCAUAUCCAUUCUGCUGCUACUAAUUUAAGCCAUUUUGUAUGACUUUAUCAAGUGGAUGGAGUUUUGUUUAUCAGGAUUUGAUCUAUUCUCAAUUAAGACACCAUCAAAAAAUAAAUAAUUCUUUCAUUAAAAAAUAAAUAGAAUCCACUUGAAUUUUUCUUUAGUGAUAAUUCACAAUUCCACCUAAAAACUUUCUAUUAAUUGGUUGGGUGGUUGAUUAGGUAUAGAUUGCUUCAAUCAUUUCAAUUUGUUUGUAAUAUUAUAUAUGAAACUGGCACAAGUAUCGAGUAUAAUAGGCUACAUUGUAGAUAUUAUCAAUUAAAUAAAUUCAAUUUAAUUUUUGUUAUUAAUUAAGUUUAUAUAUUUUUUAUUUAAUUGUUAAAUAAGAAUUUAAUUAGAUUUAUUUAUAAUUUUUAUAUAUAUUUAAAUUUUAGUUUUUUAUAAUUAGCUUAUUAAAAAGGAUGAAUAAAACUAAAUACAAAUUUAUUAAAUGAUUUUAAAUUUGUUAAAAAAUAAAAAAUAAUCACAUUACAUUACAUUACUGACUGUACCUUAUAUAAUAUUGAUUAUGCUUUAAUUUUUCAUAAAAUAAUAAAUUCAAUUUUUAUUAGUUUAUAUAAAUUAUAGAGAACAAUUUAAAAAAUUUAAAGUAUAAUUCAUAAUAAAUAAAAGAAUUAACCACAAAAAAAUUAUACUUUUGAUUUUGUUAUAAUUAUUAUAUUUCUUUUAUCAAUUAAAAUUUAACUUAUAAUUAUUAUAUUUUUUUAUUAAUUAAAAUAUAAUUUUUAAAAUUAUUUUAAUUAUAUCAUAUGGUUAUUUACAUUAUUAAAAAAUUAAUAAAAUUAUUACGUCAUUUACCAUUGUCACCACAUCAUAUUAAUAAAAUUUAAAAUUAAUCAUAUAAACACCAAAUACUUUAUUUUUAAUAUACUUUUACUUUAUAUUUAUAUUUUUUAUUAAUUAAAUUUUAUUUUUUUAAUAUGUGGUCAAAUGCAGUUGUAAACUUACAAAAUUAAUAUAUUUAAAAAUUAUUAUUAUUAUUUAAUUUUUUUAAUUUUUAUCAAUAAUUUUAUAAUAAUAAUAAUAAUUUAUCUAGAUUUUAUUUUGACUAAUAUACUUAUUAUUUAGUAUUAUUUUUAAAAUUACCAUUAAAAAAUAAUUUUAUUAAAUAUUUUAUUUAUAAAGUAUUAAAAAAUUUUAAAAUAAUAUUUGUCAUGAUUCAGUUAAAAAUAUUAAAAAUAAUAAAAUAAUUUUUUAAGAUAUUUUUUAAAAGUUAUUCUUUUAACUCUUAAGUAUAAUAUUAAUCUACCAUUUUUUUUAAUUAAACUUUAAAGUGAUUUUUAAAAAAAUUAUAAAAUAAAUUAUUUUUAAAAAUAUUCUAUAUUUUUAGCUUUAUUAUAAUUUUAUCCUAAAUUUUUAAAUUAUUAUCAAUUUUAUUUUGAAAUUUUGCUGAAAUGCUAGUAUGUGAUUGUGAUGGCGAGUGAUGUAAUAAAUUUAUUAAUUUUUAACGGUAUAAAUUAUGGUAGAAUAUAAUUGAAAUAACUUUAAAAUAUUAAAUUUUAAUUGGUAAUAAAAAAUAUAGAGUAUAAUUAUAAUAAAAUUAAAAAUAUAUAUUUCUUGGCAUUAUCUCUAAAUAAAAUUAUUUUUUUUAUUUUUUUAUAAGCAAAACAUUGAUUAAUAGAUAAUUUACAUUUAAUUAUUAUAUUUUUUACAAUUUUGAGUAUUUAAUAAAUUUUAACUUUAAUUAAAAUAUUAAGUAAGCUAAUUUCAAAUAAUAAAAAUUUAGGAGUGCAAAAUUAUUAUUUUCUUGCUUUUCCCUUUCAAUCAAGUCAUUUUUAAACCCUCCAUCUUGGACUUGCCAUCUGGGUUGGGCCUCUUCUAUUCAGAGGUCUUUGCGCAUGAGCUCUGAUAGUACCCUCCACUUGCGUCAGUCUCUUUCAGUUUCCUCCACCCCAUGCCCUUUUCUUUCUCUUAAAAAAUUAAAUAAACUUACCUAAUUUAAAAUUUUUAUUAGUUAGAUUUCUAUUUUAAAUUUAUUCGGUUUAAAUAUUUUAUUAUUUUAUUAUUUUUAUAAAAAAAUAUAGAAAAUAUUAUUAAGAUUUUCUUUAAUUAUAAUAUUCAUGUAUAGUGCUAUUUUAUAAACUUUGAUUUAGAUUAAAUAUUCUUAUUAUUAUAAAUAAAAAACUAACUUUUCUAAUAAAUUUAAAUAAAUAAAAUCUCAUUUAUUUAUUUAUUUUACAUUUCGAUCUCAAACCAAUGAAGGCUUAGUCAUUUAAUGAUCACAUCUUUGGCAAAAUAAUAAUAAUAAUAAUAAUAAUAAUAAUAAUAAUAAUAAUAAUCACAUGGAAACGUCGACAUUUUUCCAUGUUAUUGCCCUGCAUCACAUGCAAUGCAGGGGAAAGUCAACAUUCUAAUAAUGCUAAUGUGGAGGUGCCGGAAAAAAAAUAAAAUAAAAAAGUCCAGAACGUGCUUUAUUAUAUAUAAGUCAAAAUUUAAAUUUAUAUUAAUGAUAAAUUAAUUUAAAUAAUAAAAUCAUUAUAGUUUUAAAAAUUAAAUUUAAUUAUAAAAUCAUUAUUCACUUAUAAGUUUAAAUAUAUAAAACUAUAAUUUUAUUAACUUUAAAUUAAUUAAAUAAUAAAAUUAUUAUUUAUUUUAAAAUUUAUGUUUAGUUAAAUGCUUGUAAAUAGUUAGAUAGAUGUAAAUUAUAUAAUAUAUAUUUAUAAUUAAAAAUUUUAAAGUAAUUUACUAUAAAUUUUUGUAACUAAUCAUUUUGUCAAAAUUUUGAAAUAAAUAAUUUAUAAAUUUAUCAAAAUUUCAAUCCCUAAAACUUCUUUUUACAAUUAAUAAUAUAAUUUUAAUAUGUGUAUAUAUAUUAAAAUAUAAUAAUAUAAUAUAUUUUAAAUUUAAUAUUUGAAUAAAGAAUCAUCUAUUCAACUUAAAAAUUUUAAAUCCUAAAAAUAUUUUAAUAGUUUAAUUUCUCAAACUAACUCUUACAAUUAAUCUAAUAAAUAGAAAUAUUAUCAGUUUUAAAUUUGAAUAAAAUUCUAAAUAAUCUAUUUUAAAUAUAAUUCAUUAUUUUAAAAUUUUUAUUUCAUUAAUAUUUUUUGAUAAUGGUAUAAUUUGGCAGGUAAUUUUUAUUUUUGUAUAUAUUUUAAUAUUAUUGAUUUAAUAUACCAAUUUAAUCCGAUGAAUUAGUUCCUAUGGCGGACCGAAUAAUCUCUCAAUGACGAGAGUAGCAGAUAAGGCCACGUUGCACAGAAACAGAGAUGUGUAAUGUCAAGAAGGAAAAGACGAGGACACGUGUACGGUCAAAUGGAAAGAAAGGGGACACGUAGAGCGAGUCCGUACAAGUGUGGCAUUGACCAGUGAGUGGAGGGAAGGAAACGAAAGAUUUAUUAUUCUCGUACGGUGUGCUGGUUCUGUUUUGUCGGCUUGUGUUUGUUAAGCAAAUAUGCCAUGGAAUUGCCUCUAUGGAAAAUAAAUAAAUAAAUAAAUAAAAUCACCCGUCCCAUGAACAAACGUUUGGCUCCCCACCUGCCCUUACCACAUCCUUCACGUGACUCAACAACUGAAACUCAUCUCAUUUAAUGCUCAGAUUUCUUUCAUUGCCUUUUAAUAAGUUUUUUCAUUAGUAAUUUUUAUUUUAUUUUUUUCAUGCAAGAAAUAUAUAUUUUAAAAUUACAAAUACUGUACAGUUACAGAAUUUACAUAUUAAUAAGAAUAUUAAAUAAAUAUGGAAAAUUUUAAAUUUAUUUUUUUAGUUUUUAAUUUUUAUUUAAAAAAAAUAAAAAAUUUAAAUACUGUAAAUAUUGAAGAUAAAUUAUAUAAAUUUAAUCUAACGAUAACAGUUUAAUCUAGCAAUAACAGUCUUCUUAAACAUAAUUUUACUAUAAUAUUUAUUUAAAUAUUAAAUUUUAUAUAUUGAUAAGAGAGUUAUUAUAAUAAAUAAAUUUUUAUUUAUAUGUAUAAUUUUUAUUAAUGAUGUGAAUUUAGUAAGUAAUCUUUAUUUUUUUGUAAUCAUGUGUUUUAAUAUCAUAAUCUCGAGAAAAAUAAUGUAUAGUUCUAUCAAGGAGUUUGUGAAAAAUAAAUAGAAAAUAAAAAAUAAAAUGAUGGAGCACACGUUAAAUCGGGCAAUGUUUUUUUUUUUAGAAUGCGCAGGACGUGAAGGGACUCGGAAGGUCUAGAACCCGCCAAGUGUAGGGCGAAGCAUGCUUGGAGGGCGGAUAAAAGGACAGCCAGCCAGUUGUUGGAUUUUAUUUACUUUAUUUAUUAUUAUGGGAAGAUUUUUUUUAUUUCUUAUUUUGGCUUUGAUUUUUUGCUGCAAAAGUUGGUAGAUGCUUGGCCUGAAAUCCACUCUUUCUUUCUGCAGCACAUGGGCUACUUCAUUUGUAACCCUAGAUCAAUAUCCACGUGUAUGCCAAAUCAUGCACAUCGUACACGUAAUAAUUCAGUCAAAUAAUUAUGCUCUUCUUUUGUACCGUCUUACCAAGAAACAUAUCCCUUCGAUCACCAAUGUGGAUAAGCAUGGAUAUUAGAAUCAUUACACUCUUUUUUUUUUUUUAAAAAUAUGUAAAUGAUAAUUAUAUUAUAUAACCGCAAUUUAAAUGGAGAGGAUUCAAUAAAUUUUUUUUUAAUAGAUAAUUUAAUUAAAAAAUAAAAUUAUGUUUAGGUAAAUUAGAUUUAUUGUGAGGUGAUAAAUAUUUAUGAUAAUUAUUUUGAUACUUUUUAAUUUUAUGAUUUUUUUAUAUUGUAAAAAGAUAAAAGUAAGUAUAAUAUAAUUGGGUGUUUGAUAAAAAAUAUAACUAACUAAUAGAUAGGUUAUUUCGCGAUUAUAAGCGUAAUAAGAAUACGUCAGAUUGUGCCUGAUAAUAAUAAUUUUGUAUUGAUACUCGCUCUAUUCAGAGAAUGGCGAGUCUUGAUCCGAGUGUUAAAGUGUUCAAAACUUUUUUUUUUCGGACGUAACUAAUUUAUUUACUUAUCAAAUUUUUUCCAUGUAAACCUGUUUUGUAGUGACAAUACAUGACUUUAGACGAUUCUAAUAUAGUAUUAGAGGAUCCCAUUGAUUUUUUAUUCUUUAGAUUUGAAGGUAAUAUUAUUUUCACGAUCUGAGACACGUGGUUCGAAAAUGAAAGUUAUUCUCACGAUUUGGAACAUGUGGCUUACGAAUAUUUAUUUUUUAUUGACUCACGCCACUUUUUCUGCCUUUGGUUGUCCUGUUGCCUGAAACGCAUUUAAAGUAUGCCAUCAAAAUCGUGUUAUAAAAACUCUUCUUCGUCCUCAAAUAUCACUUCUGCUCUUGGCUGCAAUUUUUGUCUUUAGAAAUACUCACCGUUCAUUUUUUUUUUAUUACACUCCUUUACUUUCGUAGUAAUUUAUGUUUUCUUUUUCCUCUUGGAAUGAAUAGAAAUAUUUCCUCUUCCCUUGUCUUUAGUCGAGGUUCUGCUUCAAACUCUUCCAACAACAACCCCAUCCGUGUCCCGACUCCUAGCGUUCCCUUGAGAGAGGCUCCAGAGAGCGGAGUAUCUCUAUUAAUGACAUCCCCUCUAUCGUAUCAGAAUAAGAUGUAUAACACUUUUAUGGUACAUACGAAAUCCCUUAGAGACCUUUCGCAUCUUUGCCUUUCUCCACGCAUUCGUGUGAAUGACUUGAUUCUUGUGGAGGACAUUAUUAUGGUUUUCGAGGAGCAGCUGAGAGCGAGCCUUCGGUUCUCAAUGUACUCAUUUUUUAUUGAUGUCCUCCGACUCUAUAAGCUUUCGGAUGCCCAAUUGCACCCCAAUAGUUAGAGAAUUUCAAUAGCCUUCCGAUUUCUUUACCUAUAUAAUCAUUCUCAUUUUAUACUGUAAGAGAAUAUAAGUAAAUAUAAUAUUUUCAGUUAAUAGAUAAGUUAUCUUGCGAUUACAGGCGUAAUGAGAAUACAUUGUCCUGUGUUUAAUAACAGAGGAGGGCGAGUCUUUAUGAUAAAUCGGGUAUUAAAGUGUUCAAAUUUUUUUUUUCGAGUGGAACUAAUUUAUUCACCUAUCAAAUUAUUAUGAAUUAUUUUAUGAUAACAGUUUAUAGCUUAUUUUAGACGAUAUUAUAUAUUAUUAAUUCUUAAAAUUUUUAAAAAAUUACUAAUUAAUUUUUUCAUUAAAAUCGUUAAAUAUUAUAUAAAAAUAUAAAAUAUCUCUAAAUAUUGAUUAUUUUUAUAAAAUUAAAAAAUAAUUAAUAAAUUUUUUAUUUUAUAAUAAUAAAUGAAUCUGAGUAAAUUUAUGAAUUUUUAAUUUUAAUUUUUGAAUUCUUUUAAAUAUAUAAAUUUAUUUAUAUAAUAAAAUUUAAUCAAAACAAAUAUCUAAAAGUAUUUUAGCACGGUCAAUGAAAAUGGAGAUAAACUUCCAUAAAAAAGGGAAGUAAUAAUGGAAGCCAUUGAAAUAACAACCUUCCAUAACAAGGCAAACUAGAGUGGCGCAGCGGAAAAGACGUGGACUGCAAAAUAGAGACAUGUAACCACAAAUAUGGGUUUGAUUCCACCAGGGGAACAUUGUCAUGGCUGCAAAUUUUAUUACCAUUUUAAGCCCCUGCUUCAAUGUGGACAAUCAUAUAUCCAUCCAUCACCCUUAAAAAAAAAUCACAAUAAUAGUGGAUAAGCAAUAGGACACAGUAGAUUUGCUGACGUCAUUGUUCAUCCACGUUUUAUUCCUUGUCCGCAUAUAGAAAAAGUAGAAAGGAGAGAAAAUGAAUGGUAAAAAUAAGUAAAAUUUUAGAAUGGAGAAAAAAAAAAUAUAAUUAUUUUCCUUUUCCACCCUAAAGUUGUCCAAAAUUCCAAACAUAGUAUUAAGCAUUAAGCAAUGGAUUCGGAUGUGAAAUUAGACUGGAAUGGAUUUAAUUUCAUCAAAGUUUUACACUUUAUCCAACUAAUUUAUCAUGAUAAUUGAAAAAAAGUAAUUAUAUUACCUAAAUUAUGAUAAAGUAGUUGUUAAUUUAAUUAAAAUUAUCUUACUUAUUUUAAUAUUUUAUAAUUUUUUUCAUUAAUCUAUUAACAUAAAAAAAUAUAAAUAAUUAUUAUUUAUAGUCAAUAUAAUUAAUUUUCUUUGACGAAAAACGUAUAAAGUUGCAUACAUCAACUAUCACUAAAUUCCACAUGAUAUGAGAUAUUGAAUUAUUCCUUAUUUGAAUCGAUUUUAAAUAUAAUUAAUAAGUGAUAGAGUAUCAUGCGUUUGUUGGUUGUCGUACAAUGGGGUAUAGAAUUUUAAUAGAUUAUAACAUUCAAUUAUUUAAUUUUUAUUAUAUGAUCAGUAUUUAAAUAAUAAAAGACUUAUUCUGUGUAACAUCUCAUUAUUAUUAAAAAAUAUUAUAUAAUAAAUUAUAUUUAUAAUUACAUAAUCUCUCAAUGUACAGAUCAAUAUUAAUAAAUGUUUUAAUAAAAUUAUUGAUUAAUCCUAUUUUUUAUGAUAUAAAAUUAAAAUACAUACGAAAUUCAACAUAUAUAUUCUUAUACAUUUUUUUUAAAUUUAAACAAUCUAUUUAAAUUCAUCAUCUUAAAUAAUUUAUUAAUUUGAUCGUUAAAAUAAUUAUUCAUAAAUAUCAACCACUUUAAUUUUUUCUAUUUUAUAGAGUGACAUAUUAUUUUUAAUUUAUUUUGGUAUAUAUAUAUAAUGGUCAAUAAUAUAAUUAAUCGUUAUUAUAUUAAACUUUAAUGACAUUUCAUAUUUUUUUAAAUCGAAAAAAAUGAAAUAUCACAUAAAAUUACUACAAAUUAACAAAUAAUAUAACAUUUACAUCAUGUAAACUCAUAAUAAGUUUAAACUAAACUUUUCCUUUUUAUAAAAAAUAUUGUAUACUGAAUUAUUAUCGAUAUGUAAUUAUUUUUAAUUAUUAUAUUAUUUUAAAAAUAUUAUAUAAAAAAUAAUAAAUUUUUAUUAAAAAUUGAACGAUAAAUUUCAUUAUCAUCAAUGAAUUUUUUAUAACUAUAUUAAUUAUUUAUUUUAUUAACAAAAAAAAAACUUAUCAUUAUUUUUAUAAUUUUAAUGAUCGAUUAUAGCAUCGUUAUAAUUAGUAUUACCGAUUGUUAAAAUUUUUUAACUUAAUGAUUAGAUAAAAUGAUCAUUAAUAAUUUUUAAGGAUUAAUUUUUAAUAUUUGACAAUUUUUUUCACAAUAAAUAUUUUUGUUGUAGUCUCUUCAAAUAUCUCUAAAGAAUAAAUCCUGUCAAUAUUUCAUGAGAUUACAGGCAGAUUAAUAUAAAUAUCGGGAGGAAAGAGGCAUAACUUAUUCUUUCCUUGGUGUGUAAUCAAAACAUUUAUGUUUUUGUGGUUCAAAAUUAAAGAUAUGUAAGUAAAAGCAACAACUUGAUGCUAAGCAAAGCCUUAAACAAAGUAUGCAAAUUGAAACACUGUCUGUCAUUUUAUGUAUAAUUUUAUAUUAGUAUUUAAAUUUUUAGUUGGAUCUGAUUUGCAGUAAAUUUAAAAAAAAUUAAAGUGUAUUUUAUUUAUUUUUUAUGCAUAUUAAAUUUUAAUAUAUGUUUUUUAAAAAAUUUAAAUUGAUCUAAUUACAUAAUUAAUUAUAGGAGUACAUAUUAAACAUACGUUUAACAUAUUUUAAACAUAUGUGUAAGUGUUAAACAUAAAUGUUACACGAUGUCUAGGUCUUGUUCUGGUCUGCGCUAGUAAUAAAACCGGUAUCAGGACACGUGUAACAAAGCCAUUCCGCUUUGUAAUACUCUACGUCCAAUGCCCCGUAACUGAAACUUUUCCAAUAUUUUUAACCGCAAUAGUAAUAUAGCUCCUAGGAAUUUAACCUGACCAAGGUUGGCUUAACUCAACAAGUGUUCCGCAAAGCAGUUUAUAUAGCGAAGCAAACACUGCCGGUGAUUCUGCAUACAAAAUCCCGAAGCUACCUAUCCUCACUGCCAAAAAGAUGAUGCUGGGUGAACGACACCGUCCUAAUCCAACAAUCCACGUUCCGCCGUGGGCCCUGCUUGAUGAUACGAAUUCCGACGCUAAUCCCUCGUCGCCGUUGACCUCUCACUCCGGCAAUGCUGCUAUAGCAUCUGACUAUAACCCGUGCUAUCUUCAAGAAGCGCUGGCCGCGCUGCAGCGUUAUCUGCCGUCGAAUGAACCGGAUUUGGACUCUGAUUCCGAGUUGUUAGGCCUGGAACCGGGCUCUCCGGUGGACGCCUAUUCUUGCGAUCAUUUCAGGAUGUUCGAGUUCAAAGUGAGGCGGUGUGCACGUGGCAGGUCACAUGACUGGACCGAGUGUCCUUAUGCUCAUCCAGGGGAGAAGGCGAGGAGAAGAGACCCGAGAAAGUAUCAUUAUUCGGGUACUGCAUGUCCUGAUUUUCGAAAGGGAAAUUGCAAAAAAGGCGAUGCGUGUGAGUUCGCCCAUGGUGUGUUCGAGUGCUGGCUGCACCCUGCCCGUUACAGAACUCAGCCAUGUAAGGAUGGUACUAACUGUAGGAGAAGAGUGUGCUUUUUUGCUCACACGGCAGACCAACUCAGGGUUCUGCCUCAACAGAGUCCCAGGAGCCUCAACUCGGUCGACUCAUACGAUGGAUCACCCCUCAGACAGGCUAGGGAAGCUUAUUGUGCAAAAAGUGUUCCGUUUUUGGCUAGCCCUGGCUCGAUUUCUCCUCCUGCUACGCCGCCGUUGGAAUCUCCUCCCAUGUCGCCGAUCACACAGUCCUUAAGUCGGUCUCUUGGGUCCAACUCGAUCAACGAAAUUGUGGUUUCACUAAGAAACUUGCAACUAGGUAAGGUUAACUCUAUGCCGCCAUCUUGUAAUGUGCAUGUUGGUGGAUCCGGGUUCGGGUCUCCAAGAGGGUCGAUGAUCCGAUCCGGAUUCUGUAGUCUUCCAUCCACUCCAAGCGGUGGUCCUACUCGUUCUGGACUCCGUUACCGUGAUGUCUGGGAAAAUGUUUGCGAGGAGGAGCCAGCUAUGGAGAGAGUGGAGUCUGGAAGGGACCUGCGGACAAAGAUGUUUGAGAAAUUGAGCAAAGAGAACUCGCUGGGACGGGUCGACCCAGAUCCAGACCAGUCUUCCAAAGCUCCGGAUGUUGGAUGGGUCUCGGAGCUGUUGAAGUGAGGUGAGCCAAGUGGCUCGUAUAAUUGUUUAAUUAUUUAUUCGGCAAAGUCUAUUUUGGUUUCCCCUCUCAUUGUAAAUAGUGGUUAAAAGAACUGAGGUAAGCUGGGAAUUAAUUAGGCUUCUGUGUCAGCAAAUUGAAAAUUCUGUUAAAUGUAUAUAUUUAAUUAAAAGAAAUUAUUGAAGAAGAAGAAUCUAACCUCUGGGCGACGAGAAUUCCUUGGAGAAUUAUCGAAGAGCAGAAUGAGAAUUCACAAGGCAAUCGAAGGUGGAAGGAGAAAUUGUAUACGGGCUGGGGCAGAAAAUGGAUUAUUCCCAUAUGUCCUUUUUGUUUAAGAGGUUUGUUAUCUUGUUAUUAGUAAGCGUUGAAGGUGCUGAUCUUUUUAUUAUGACUGUACAAAUUGUCCGAGCCAUGUAACGAUAUGCAAAUUAAUGCAUUGUAUAAUUAAUUCUGUUCAUUUGCUUCUGAAUUCCUGCCUUUGUUGUUUAUGUGGUUGAACUUGUUAUAUAAAGAAAUUUUGUAAGAAUGUAAAUUUGUGUUAUUUUUUAUAUUAGUUGGGUAUAAAUAGAUGCAAGCUAAUAUAUAAAAACUUUAAUCAACUAUCAUGGUUGAUUUUGAUUAUAAUUUUAAAAUUGAAUAAAAAAUAAUAAAAAAUAAAUUUAAGUGAUUAAUUUUAAUUAUAAUUUUAAAAUUGAACUAAUAUCAUCUUUUAACAUUCUCUGGCAAAAUUAAAAAUUUAUUAUAGAGAUUAAUUUUAGAUAUGUUAAUAUUAAAUUUUAUUUUUAUCAAUACUUUUAUUAAUAAAUCAACUGAUUAUUGAAUGAGAUUAAAAGUUUAUUAUGGAGAUUAAUUUUGCAUCCGUUAAUAUUGAAUUUUAUUUUUAUUAAUACUUUUGUUAAUAAAUCAGCUAAUUGAUCAUCAGAUGAAAUAUAGAAAGUUUUUUGUUGAAUCAAAUCACGAAUAAAGUGAACAUUUAUUUUAAAAUACAUAUAUAUUGUGGAUAUAUUUUACAGUCAGUCUUUUAUUGUGAUAAUAUAUCCACGAUAUAUAUGUCAGUAAAAAUUUGUUCUUCAAUAAGAAACAAUACUUCUUCAAUAAGAAACAAUGAUAGGAGUUGAGGGUCUUUCAACAAAAAUUUAUUUUCUAGAGUUUAAACAAAUAGAGAUGUAAACGAUGAAUCAUUCGCUAUUAUAAUGAAAUCAUUCACAUCCACAAGAAAAUAACAACAAAUGUUUUCUUUUCGAUAAAAAAAAAAAGAAUAAUCACACUGAGAUAAUUGAAUCCCAUAUUGUAUAGUGAAAGAUCGAAGAAAUUGAUAUCAUGUUCUAGGCGCUUGCUUCAAACCAUAAAGAGUUUUAAGUAGCUUACACACAUAAUGAGGCUUCGAAGGAUCUUUAUAUCUAGAUGGUUGUUGCAUAAAGAUCUUCUCUUGUAAAGGACCAUGUAGAAAUGCAUUGUUAACAUCAAGUUAUAUUAAUGGCCCAGAAUUUGAAAGUGUCAAGAUUAACACUAUUUGAAUUGUAACCGGUUUCACUACUGGGCUGAAUGUAUCAUUAUAAUCAAGUCACAGCCUUUGAUUAUAUCUACGAGUUACCAAUCUAGCCUUAUAUUAUUGUAUAUAGCCAUCCACAUUUCUUUUAAUCCUGUAAAUCCACUUACAACCAAUCAAAUUAUGAUGAGACUCAGAUGGAAUAAGAAUCUAAAUUUUAUUAUCAAGCAAGACGUUAAAUUCAUCCGACAUAGUAUUACGCACCUCAGGAACAGCUAAAGCCUGUUUAACUGUUGUUGGUUCUGGUACUUCAGAUAACGGGUGUUUGGAGACAUGAUUUAAAAUUUAAGGUUUUCGAAUAUUGUUCUUGGAACGUGUAAUUAUGAGAUAAUUAUUCAUGGUUGGGAGAACGAUAUUCAGUAGUGGAGGAGUAACAGGCUUAGUUGAAGAAUAAAAAGAAGUGGAAUUCGAUGAGGGCUGCGAAAGAGAUGAGGCUAGUUGAUUAUUUAUUGACAUGGUGAUCUGUGAGUUUGUAGUAACAGUAGAAGAGAGAGACAAAAUUAUCAUGGGUGUAAACGAAUAGUCAUUAAAAUAGGAUAAGAAGAUGGAACAUUAUACUAACAUGAUGAAGAUAAGGACUCUGGAGAUUGUUGAGUUUAAAAAGGAAAAGUUUUCUCUAAAAAUAAAACAUAAUGGGACUCAAUAUAACUAUUUUAAUUGAUAUCAUAACAAAUGUACAUACUUUUAUUUGUAGAUUAACCAAAAAAGACACAUGGAAUAGACUUAGUAUCAAACUUAGAGUGUAUGUAGGGUCUUAAACAUGGAUAACACAGACACUCAAACACACGUAGAGAUUGAUAAUUUGAUGAUCGACCAAACAAUUUGUAAUAGAGAGACACAUAAUUAAGAACUGGUGUAGGCAUAUGGUUGAUUAGGUAAGUUGUCGUUUUAAAAGUAAAAGUCAAAAAGAAGGAUGGUAAACUAGAUGUUUGCAAUAAUGUAAGACUAGUUUCAACCAAAUGUCUGGCGGCAUUCGGCUGCAUCAUUAUAUUGUGGUGUGUGUGGCGGGAUUUAUAAAUGAUUUAUACCAUAUUUUUGAAAGUAUUUUUAAAGAGCAAUAUACUCACCACCCCAUCUGUAUAAUAGUUUUUUUUUAUUUUAGAAUUAAUGGUAUUUUCGAUAAGUUUUUGAAAUACCGAAAAAAUUUCAUAAAUCUCAUUUUUUUUCCUUUAAAGGAUAUAACCAAAUAUAUUUUGUGUAAUGGUCCACAAAUAUUAUAUAAUAGCGAAAACCAUUGACAGAAUAAAUUGGAUUAGGUCUCUAUAAAUUCGAAUAAAGAAGUUCAAGAGGAUGAACACUAGUUAAAGAAGAAACAUCAAAUAGGGCUUUUUGGUUGUUAUUACAACAACAAGGAUCGCACACGCUCUCCUUAACAACAAAUACAUGAAGAGAAAAUUUCGAUAAAAUAAAAUUAAAGAUCUUUGAAUUGGGAUGACUAAGACGUUGAUGUCACAACACAGACGAAAGACGAACAUGAUGAUAGCCAGAAGACACCAAAUUUUGAAACGGCUUGAGCUUAUAAAAAGAUUAGUCAAGCAGGCCUUUGGCUAAAGUCUCCCCGUGGAUUGAUCCUUUAUGAGAUAAAACUAAGAAAAAAAUUUAAUCGAAACUUGAUUAGAAUAAUAGAAUUGAGGAAUAGAUAUAUAAUUUAUUUUGGCUUUUGGUACAAACAGCAUAUUGGAAAGAUAACAAAGCUUGAAAGGUAAAGAAAAUAUAUCAAAAUCAACAUGAAUAAUAGACAAAUCUGAAUUGUCUAUGAGCUGCAAUUUAUCAUUCCCCUCGUAUGGAGCAUGAAGUGAGAGAUUGCGCAAGUCAUAAGUCACAUGGUGUGAAGCUGCAAUAUAGAGCAACCAUGGAGAAUCACUAUUCUGCUGUGUACUCUCACAAUUUGUUUGCGGCUGUUGAGUCAACAAAGACUAAAAAAAUUCUUAACUUUGAAACACUGGCUAGAUCGUUCACAAAACUGACAUUAAACUUUUGACUGAGAGCCUUGAUUACGAAUGAACCCACCAGAUUUAGAUUUACCAUCCGAAUAUCCGUCCGAUUGAUUAAAAGCAGGAACAGAUGCAGUACUAAUAUAUUGUCGACCAUAGGAGCCUUGUUUGAAUGAAGAGUUGCUAUAGUUCGACUUUCAAACAUGAUUAGCAGUAAUCGGAGCAAUCUUAUAGAACGGAUCAAUCUGCUUCAGAUACAAUUUAUGAGCUUAAAGUUUGUCUUGAAGCUCAUCAAAAGAAAUUACAACAUCGUGCGUAUGGAUGACAGCAACGAUAUCGCAAAACUCAAAUCCAACACCUUCUAAAAUUUGAACAAUCAAAUCAACAUCACUAACCGGACUACCACACAAAGACAAUUUCUCAACUAUGUUUUCCACAUUAUUAAGAUAAUAAAAAACCGAACGACAAUCUCAUUUCGUAUGAGAUAAUUUAUUAUGCAGUGAUAAAAUUCUUGUAGCCGACUUAUUUGCAUAACUAAUCUGCAGUUUUUUUCACGCUUCUGCAAAAGUCUCAGCAUUAGCAACCACAUUUAUAACAUAAAACAAGAGUGAAGAUCGAAGAGCAGCAAGAAUUAAUUGAUACUGACAUUGCUAAUAUUCUAAUCUGAAUUGAAAAUCUAUUUUCUUUCUUGAGUAAUAGAUGCUGGAGAAAUUUGGACAAUACUCAAAAUAUACCCUAUAAGACUGUGACUUUUAAGUAGAUGAGAAACUUGAGUUCUUCAUGUCAGGUAGUUUAUAACCGUAAGUUUUAAUAGAAACUGAGUACCGUUGAUAGAUAUAAGAGGACAAUUGAAGGUAUGACUAGACGCCAUAAUUGAAAUAAAAAAAAAUAAAGAGAUUUUUCGAAUCAGACUCUGAUAUUAUAAAAAAAUUUUAUCAGAAUAAAAAUUUAUUUUAUUUUUGAUAUAAUUGUGGUAUAAAUAGAUACGAGAGAGUCUAAUAAACAAAGAUUUCAAUCAACCCAAAAGCUAAUAUUAUAUGUUUGAUAUUGUAAAUUUUAAUUGUGAUUUAAUAAUUUUUUUAUUAAAGAAAUUAUUAAUUUCGUUGUCUCACCUUUAUUCAAUUUUUUUUGAAAAAUUAUUUUUAUUCAUAAUUAAUGUAAUAAAAUAUUGUACAUUAUUUAAUUGUAUUUAUGUAUAUUAAUGUAUUAUCAGAAUGUAUUUCUAUUAGGUGUAUUUUAAAAAUUUUAUUUCUUAAAUUCAUAUUAAAUAAAAAUACAUUCUGAUAAUGAAAGUAACAAUAAUGAGUGACUGUUGCAUAAAAGAAGGUUAAUUAAUGGGAAAAAAAAGAAGCAAGGCUAAAUUGAGAGUAGUCAACGUUAGAAAUGGGUAUGUUUGAAGGGACAAAAACAGAGUAGGUUAGGUUUAGUGUAGUGUAGAGAGUGAAAGCUUGUAGUCUACAAUAUAGGUAGGUACUACUGUAGAGAAUAUCAGCAGAUCUUACCUUUUUCUAUUUUUAUUUAUUUCUUUUUAUCUUUUUCCUUUGGUCAUUUCCCAUUAUGAUAAGUUGCUUUCACUUUGAGGUCCUGUCGUCUUUGUUGACGAUCUCCAUUUUUCCUUUAAAAAAAGGAAAUUGAAAAAGAGGUAGAUAUCUCCCAGCUUCCAGCGACUUGUGUUUUUUCAUAGGCCAUAAAUGCAGAGGUGGGGUAGUCGACCCCUUGGCCUUGGGUUGGUAUACGCUAAAGGGGGGAAGUAUCUCUGACAAAACCAAACAACGCUCAGGUCAUGAUCAUAAUCUAAAGAAUCGCUUCAUUAACCCCUUCCUACACGCAACAUUAUCUCCUCCUUCUUCCGCUUCAUUAACCCCUUGUUUUUUUUUUUUUUAAAAUUGGACAUAGAUAUCUAAAGUUAUACGGGUGCCGAUAAUUUUUUUUAAUUUAUAAUUUAAUCUUUAAAUAUUAUUAUUAUUAUUAAUCAAUCGCUAGUUAUAAUUUUAAAAAUUUAUUAAAAUAUAUUUAUAUUUUUUUUAUCAAUAAAAUAAUAAUUUUAUCUAUUUUUAUCAUUAAAAAUAUAAUAAAAAAUUAAAUUAUUUCUCUUCUUUUCCUUUUUUUCUUUCUCCUCCUCAUUCUUCUUCUUCUUUCUUUGAUUCUUCUUCUUUCUCUUCUUCUUAAUUAAUUAAUUAUUCUUCAAUUUUUCUUUUUAUUUUUAUUUUUUUAUGAUUAUUUUUAAAUUUUUUUUAUUUUUUUUCUUUAAAGAGAAAAAAGAGGAUAUUUUUCUUCAUCAUGAUUUUUUCUUCAUCAUCAUUUUCUACUUAUUUUUUUUUCUUCUUCUCCUUCAUCAUCAUUAUCAUCUUCUUUUUCUGUUUUUUUUAAGGAGCUUCUUCUUCUUUUUCUUCUGUUUUUGAAGAGGAGGAGGAGGAGGAGGAAAAAACGAUAAAAAUAUUUUAAUAGAUAUAAAAAAAAGAUAAGAACAUUUUAAAAACAUAUGAGAAAAGAUAAAAAUGUUUUAAUAAAUUUAUAAAAAAAUGUAGAGACUGACUUAUUAAUAAUAGCAAUAUUUAAGAAUUAAAUAAGAAAUUUUAUUUGAGUGUAAAAUUAAAUUUUAAAAAUUUUCAAUCUCAUCCUUUAUUUAUUUUUAAUGAAGAAAAUGAUGAAAUGACUAUUUUGUUGACGGAUAAAAAAAAUAUAAGGACGUUUUAAUAGAUUUCUAAAAAUAUAGGGAUUAACUUAUUAAUAAUGACAACAUUCAAAGACUAAAUUUACAUUAGUCUAAAAAAACUCAGAAACCCUCGUAUACCAUUAUCGAGUCUACUGAAGAAAUAACUGAAUAUACCAAUAUAGGUUCUCCAAAUUGUAUUCACAGCAUUCAAUAACGUUAUAUAUAUAUAACCUAAGUUAUUCAUUGAAGAUAAACUCCCCAUCAAAAUAAACUUCAUAAUAUCUAUACAAAGAGCAACUCAAUUUAAUCGCUAAUUAUACAUAACUCUAUAUUUCUUUCUCUUUAUUUAUCAAUAUUUAUGUUUUAAUUAUUUUUUGAAUGUAAAAUAACAUUUAUCAAAUGGGUAUUCAUGCUUGUUGCGAUUAAAAAAAGUGAAAACUUUUUUCUUGCUAUUUGUAAAGAAGAUAAGAGAUAAGAAAGAAAGGCAUAUGGCCAUCACUUAUCACAUCUUAGACAAGAUGUAUUACUAAUUACAUUAUCACAUUAAGUGAAACCCAUUUGCUACACAAAUUGUCUGCUGUCUUUUCUUUGACUAAAUCUCUUUAAUAUCAUAAAAUAUGUGAACAUAAAAGCUAUAUUUAUCCAUGGGAAAUCUUCAACUUUGGGUAAUAUUUUUUGAACUUUAGUACUAUUUUCCACUUUUGAAGAGAGAAAUGAGAGCUGAACAAAAAAAAAAAAAUUUCAUUUUCAUUGAGGUCACGAGCUUCAAAAGAAAAGGUUAGUAAUAAUACACGUCAUCGAAGCGAGCAAAGUGUGAUAAGAAAGGAAAUGAUUUUGUUUAUUUAUUAUGUACAAUCAAACUAAAUAAUAAAAUGAUAUUACUGUAAUUGUACUCGUAAGUUGUAAGAUUAAUAUAAUAGUAUGUGAAUUUGAGUAAAUUUGAGAAAUUUCAGUUUUUACUCUUUAAUUUUUAAUUUUUAAUUUUUAUUUUUUUAAAAAUGUAUAUAUAUAAUUAUAAAAAUUAAUAUAUUGCAAUAGUUCAACCUUGAACUUAAAUAGAACUUAUUACUAUUUAGAUACAAUAUCUUUUAAUUGGUUAUGUAUAUAAACUUAGGUCUUGUUUAAUUUAUUAUUUGGCAAAAAGAUUGGACUGAAAUAUUAAAAUGUUAAUUUAAUUUUAAGUUUAGUGUUUUAAUUCACAAAAUGGAAAAAUGAUUAUAAUAGGAAAUAUAGGAAUGGAAAGGAAUAAUUUUCUCUAACUUUAUAUGUUUUAUUAUUAUUAUUAUUAUUAUGAAAAUUCCCAAUUCUAAAUAAUACUCGAUUGCAAUUGUUUUUUUUUUUUUUUCACAAUGCAAAGUGUAUUGUAUUUUGCAAGACUUUUUAGAAAAAAAUUUAUAACAGGAAAUGGUAACCAUUGUAAAGUCCAACAAAAAGAAAAAAAAAUUAAACCAACCUAAAGCAAUGCAAUAAAACCAACAUAAGAAAUCACAAUCAAAAUUAUCCAAUUAAUUCAAUACAUUGGAUUGACUAAACCGACUAGAGAUCCAGCGAAAACUGUGCAUCACCAUCCACAAUAUAGAAAAUUGGACAAAAAUCUUAUCGCAAUUGAGAAUAAAACAGCAAUAAAUCGCCAAACAUCCACAGUAUCUAGAUGCCAAAAUCGUGCAAAGGACAGAGAGAACAUUAUCAAGAGGAGACGAGGAAGAUCUCGCGGCAUCACUGGCCUGAGGGAGUUGAAUCACCAGACACAGCGGCGACUCCUUGAGAUUCCAUUGUCAACAGCAUACAAAGUCCCUCGGCAAACAGAGCGAUAGUUCUCACAACUCCAACAAACCCAUCAACACCAGAUUGAAAAAAAAUCAUCACCCUUUCACUAAUAACAACCUAGAGACGGGAUGAAACAAAACCAAAUAAAUUCACCGGAGCUGACAAUGAGAGACGGCGAGGGAGACCAUCCUCCAAAAGCUGACCAAAACUAUACAUGUAAAACUCCCUUCCUUUGCCUUCCAACAAGAUCACAGAACCACCAAACAAAACAACAACGUCAAAAUCAGAAACUAGUCUCAUUCCUGAAUCUUCCUCUCUUCACUCCCUUCACUCAAUUUCUAUUGUUACUAAAAGAACAUAUAUAUUUGACUUUAAAUUCAACAAGUUUAAAUGAAUAAUCUAUAAAAAUUGGAAAAAGUUUUUGUUUUUCUAAUAUAUUUUACAGUAAAAAUUAAUUAUUUUUAUAAUUAAAAAAAAUGAAAUUUACAUAAUCAUAAAAAAUGGUACAUAUAUAAUAUUAUACAAGAAUUGGCUAAAAUAUUAUACAAGAAUUGGCUAAAAUAGGCAGUCAGCUAUCACUAUUAGACAGAGAUACAUGAUAAUGAUUUCAUAAAUUAAGAUAUGGUCUCACCUGUAUAAAGAAUGUCCCGGUCGCUUCAAGAAAGAUUGGCCUCAGGUCACUCCCCUUCUUAACUUCAGGGUCAGCCUCCAUAAGAAAGUUGACAUUAACAGCUAUAAUCCAGCAGAUUCUCUUUAUGCCUGCAAUUAUGAGAUUUCUGAUCAAUUAGCCGAUAAAAAUCUCUUGCUAACAAGUCAACUAUAUCAUUGUCAAAUUAUCAGAAAAUGCUAUUUAUCCCAACCUUUUUAUAGUAUAAAGGGGAAAUGACCAUAAAGGCAAAGGUACGCUAUUCUCCCUCAUAAAUACUCUUAAAUUUUUCAUUCACCAUUUUCUCCAGUUCACUGACAUGAGCAUCGGAGUGGCUACUGUGGGCACCACUACCUCAUAUUAUUUUUCACAUAGGUUUAGCCAAUCACAUCACAAUUUUUUUUCGGCCAUGUUAUUAAUUUGGUUUCAGCAACAUCAUUUGGUUCCAUUAUCAAGAAAUCCAUUGAGUUAUCUCUAUUCAUUUGGAUUAAAAUCGGUCUCUUAUCUUUUUUUCUCUUAAAAAAAGAAAUCCCCCUUUUAUCUUUAGAAAUGGUCGAUAAUUCACGAGUUCCUGCUAAGGAUGCUACUGAAUAGGAUGCUAUCAUUUUCUCUACUCCUGGCAGUGGACAGAACACACUCUCUAUGUUCAAUGAGGUAGAUUUCAACAAUCUGAGCAUCAAGCAAAUACUCUAGUAUGUCAGAAGGUUGCAGAUUAUUUUCAAGAAUACAAAACUCGGGAGGAGGCAUCACUCAUGGCUUCCAGAGGGAGGGAGGAAGUUUCUAUAGAGACCUCAAGGACUCGAACAAAGGGAAUUUAGACUCAAUCCAAAGGAAAGGACAAGUCUGAGAGAGAGAGCCAUCAGAUGAUAUUCCCAAGGAUGCUGGCUGGAAGCUAGUAUGGACUGUCCAAAGGUACUAGGAAGGAUGGAAAGAUGACAAAAGGACGGGUCAGAAGCAAAGCUAAAAGUCAGAGAAGUAAAUAAUGUGGAUUAGGAAAAAUGACAAAAAGAUCAGGUGACACCUCAAACUCAACCAUAAGAAUGCCAUAGAAUAAGACAUGACCAGGUACUGCCAUUUUCAUAAAGACCACAGACAUGUAACAGAGGAGUGUCAGCAAUUGAAAGACGAGAUCAAAAGGUUAGUAGGGAAUAACACACCGGAAGUUCAUCAGAAAAAGUAGAAAAGAUAGGAGGCCCAAGCUCGAGGUCAUAAUUUUCGAAAUCACCCCUGAUAGUGAACCUGAAGGGGAUUAUAUUUAUGUGACUACAAGAGGACCAAGUGCUAAUGAGAGUGACAAUAAGGAGAAUAUCAUAGAUGUACAGCGCCUGAGUCAAACUCUGGAUUUUGAAAUUAGUCAAGUCAGAUGACCGAGUUUAUUAUUUUAUCUUUAGUGAAAUAUUUGUGAUUUAUAGAAAUGUUCUUCAAACUUCUUUUUUGAUAGGAAAAUCAGAAUCGUUGGAUGAAUGAAGCAUGAUGACAUGAACAAAGGCCAUAAGGCAAUCGCCAGGCCAUCCAGGCAUGGGUCUCGCACAUAAUUUGGGCGUUGGACUGUAGAAACAAACAAAUUCAUAAAAGGCCAUAAAGCCAUUCGAGCAUAGGUCCCACAUAUAAUAUGAGCGUUGGAUUGUGGAAACAAACAAACAUUGAUAAAAGGCCAUAAAGCCAUCUGCGCAUGGGUCCCGCAUAACAAGGCAUUUCAUGCCAGGCCGCAAGGUGGUUAUAUGUUAGGCCGACUGACUAGGUGUUAGUCUCGCUUAAUAAAAAGAUUCUAAGGCAUUUAAUGUCAGACUGCAAGUCGGGUAUACGCUAGGCAGACUAACCGGGUGUUAAUCUCACUUCACAAAAAAGAUUAUAAGUGUAACAGUCCGGACGUGAUCCCCGGCACUGUUACCGCUCACAGCCCGUGACCUUCCUCUGGGCCCAGCCACUGUGAGCAGCUCUUAACAUCCCUUCACCCUCACGGGUUUCAGGCAGGAUUUGUCCCUCGGGGGAGCCAUUACAGCCCGCCCUAGCCCGAGUGGAUUUGGCCCAAUUCCUUCCUCUGGGAAUUAGGUCGCCUCCCCCACUGCUCGAACCCUUGACCUCCCACUUUAAGGGAAUAGUCUGGUACUCACUCUCACCAGACUAUUCCCUUAAAGUGGGAGGUCAAGGGUUCGAGCAGUGGGGGAGGCGACCUAAUUCCCAGAGGAAGGAAUUGGGCCAAAUCCACUCGGGCUAGGGCGGGCCGUAAUGGCUCCCCCGAGGGACAAAUCCUGCCUGGAACCCGUGAGGGUGAAGGGAUGUUAAGAGCUGCUCACAGUGGCUGGGCCCAGAGGAAGGUCACGGGUUGUGAGCGGUAACAGUGCCGGGAAUCACGUCCGGGCUGUUACAAUAAGGCAUUUUAUGUCAGACCGCAAGGCGAGUAUACGCCAGGCCAGUUGAUCGGGUGUUAGUCCCACUUUACAAAAAGGAAUAAGGCAUUUAACGCCAGGCUGCAAGGCGGGUAUUCAUCAGGCCAACUAAUCGGAUGUUAGUUUUGCUUCACAAGAAGAUUCUAAGGCAUUUCAUAUCAGGCAGCAAGGCGGAUAUAUGUUAGGCUGAUUGACCGGAUGUUAGUAUCGCUUCACAAAAAGGAACAAUGAGUUUAAUGCCAGGUCGUAAGGUGGGUAUACUUUAAGCCGACUAACCGGGUGUUAGUCCUGCUUCACAAGAAGAUUCUAAGGCAUUUCAUGCCAAACUCCAAGUUGGAUAUACGCCAGGCCGACUGACCCGUUAACCCCACUUCACAAAAAGAUUCUAAGGCAUUUGAUGCUUGAAAGCUCGUCAGGGCAAGAAAAUGCUCAGAAAAACGACAAGGCUGGAAAAGGCCAAGGAGCUCGCAAGGGCUAAAAAAUGCGCAGAAGCAUAUCAAGGCUAGAAAAAUACAUGGAAGCUCAUCAAAGUUAGAAAAAUACCUGAAAGCUCGUCAGGCUGGAAAAUAGUCAGAAGCCCAUCAAGAUUGAAAGAGGCCAAUGAGCUCAUAAGGGUUGGAAACUACCUAGAAGCCCACUAAGCUUGGAAAAAUGUCAAGGAGCUCGCAAGGGCUAGAAAAACAUCCAGAAGCUCGUUAGGGUUAGAAAAUGCUCAGAAGCAUGACACGGUUGGAAAAGGCCAAGGAGCUCGCAAGGGUUGAAAAAAUAUCUGGAAGGCCAUCAGAGCUAGAGAAUACCUGAAAGCCCAUCAGGAUUGGAAAAAUGUCCGGAAGCUUGAGCGAAAUGAGCUUGCAACGACUAGAAAAUACACGAAAUCCCGUCAAGGCAUUAUUAUAUCACUCGGACCAAUUUUUGCCAAACAAGACCUCGAACCUGACUAGGCAGUAGGGCAAGCAAGGACAUCAUAUGCUUAGUGACAUGCCCCAGAUCAUGAAGGAAACUGUAACCUUCGAAUAUAAAGAAUCAAAUAUCAACGGGAGACCUCUGAUGUUAUAUAACAAUCGUGCAAAGCAGGUAAUGAGCUGUCAUUAUAAGACAACGCCAUGUGGCAAGAAUAUGAUAAACCAGUACGGAGUUCCACCUAUAGAAAGGAAGUCCCGAGCGCUUCAGAAAAGGUUGGUCUCAAAUCGGACAAACUCGCCCUCUUAACUUUAGGGCAAGACUCCAUAAAAAAGUUAUUAUUAACAGCUAUAAUCCAGCAUAUUCCCUUUACGCCUAUGAUCAUGAAAUUCUUACCAAUUAGCCAGUAAAGAUCCCUUACCAAAAAGCCGAUAAAAAUCCCUUACAAAAAAGUCAGCCACAUUAUUUUCGGAUUAUUAAGAAAUAUUAUAUUUAUCCACGACUUCUUAAUAUAUAAAGGGGGAACGACUAUGGGGACAAAGGUAUUUUAUUAUCCCACACAAAUAUUCUCAAGUUUUUCAUUUACUAUUUUCUCCAGUUCACUUAUUUGAAUGUCAGAGUCAUAUUGUCUUUCUCGUAGGUUUAAUCAAUCACAGUAUAACUCCAUUUUGACCAUUUACCUACCUUAAGAAUAUCAGACGGCUCGUUCCCCUUAAUAUAUAAUUAAUUGGACAGUAAAUGAAUCUCCCUCUAAUUCACACCAGUAGUCGAGAUCCUUUCCAGUAAAAUUUAUAGGGCUAGUAAAUCCGGAGAAAAGAAUCAAAGAUUUUAUACGUGAAAACUUAACACAACAAAUAUUUCAUUUCAAUUCAGUCCACCCAAUAUUUUUUGAAAAGCAGCGAGGUAACUACCGUCACCAUUGUUAUGUUAAUGGAGGAAAGAAAUGCAAUUUCCAUCCUGACCACUGUGGAAGCUAUCAAAUUCAUACCCACAAUACAUAUGUCCAGAAAAGCAACGACCGAAAAAGACAAAGGACAUACAAAACCCACAAGACUAGAAGAAAUAACAGUAAUAAAAAAAUCACAACCGUGCAAAACCCAAAUCCAACCAGCAGAAGUUUUUUAUUCUCAGUAAAUCACGCAGAGGAAAGCAGCUUGAAUCCGAAACUUGGUGAUAGGGAAGAAGACUCACUGAAUUUUCCUAUUCACUGAACCACCCAAGACUAGACUAAGGAUUAAGAAAACUACCUUUGCUUCUUUUAUCCAUAUUCUAGAGGUUUAGAAAUCAUUCUCAUAGUAGAGGGUGCUCAAAGCCUUUAGAGGCUGGAAGGCCCCACGUGACUAGUUGCGCGGUCGAACAGCUAAUCCGUCGAAUUGAUGGCUUAAUUCAUAUAAAAAAAAAAGACAAAUAAAAAAAAGCAGGGGUCUGGCUCCAUUGUACUUAUUUACCCAUUUUAGUAAAUAUUGUCUCCCCAAGGCCACAGGCCCACAGACAGUGGUUCUCUCUUAAGUGGCCCAACUGUGCAGUCAACUUAUCCAACUUGAUGAAAAUAAAUUAAGAAAUUUUUUAAAAAUAUUUUGAUAAGUUCAUUGCUGAUUANNNNNNNNNNNNNNNNNNNNNNNNNNNNNNNNNNAAAAAAACCACGUAUUCACUUUUGGCCUUUCGAGUCGUAUUGCAUUUAUCAGCUUUUUCACCCCAAUGGUGUAUUGAUUAUUAUCCACAAAUUACUCUAAUAUAUUUGCCUUUUCCACGUAGAGGGACUAGAAGAAGCACGCUGCACUGGUCUAAACUUUCAUAAAAUAUAUUAAUAAAUUUAUAUAUUAUAAAGUAUUAAUAAAAUUUUUAAAAUAUAAAAAAAUUAGUUUAAUUUUUUUAAUAAAAUAAUAUAUUUUAUUAACUAAUUUUAUGUCUCAAACGUUGAGCCUUAAAAUACAAAUAUUUUCCUUCCCUAUCACAUUUGAAAAAUAUUAAAAUUAAGAGAAAAUAAAAUAUGAACAAUAACAUUAUUAAAUUUAUUUUCCCAUUCAAUUCAGGAUAAAAUAAAAAAAAGUUAAUUAAAUUAUAUUUUAAUGUUUACAUUUAUUUUUUGUUUCACUUUAUUCGAAUAUAUAAAAAAAUUGAUUAGAGAUUACAAUAUUUAUAAAACAAUUAUUUAUCGUAUUAUCUUUUCUAAUGUUUAAAUAUAAAGGGAAAAAAGACUUCUUAUUUUCUUUUUUUUUUUAAUAAAAUAAGCUAUAAUUGAAUUAUGUACUUAUUUAUGACUAAAAAUUUCUUGAAACAAACAGUGAAUACAAUUUCGUUUUCUUUUUUAUUUUUUAUACUAUAAUUUUUAAGUUGGAUUUCAACACUGAGACAGGGAAGUGAAUAAAAAUCAACAAAGGACAAGGGAAAAGUGAAAAAGCCUGCGUGGUUGCUUCCUCAAAGAUGCAUAUGCUUAGACCACAGCAAAUUUCAAAGUGGAAAACGCGUAAAAGAAAAUUCAGAAUCAGAAACUAACGCGGUUAAAAUUUCAUGAAAAAUAGGUAAAAAGUUUUAAUUUAAUUUAAAUUAAAAAAAUUAAUUGAAUCAAAUUAAUUUAAAAUUUUAAUUUAAUUUUUUAAUUUAAUUUUUAAUUUUAAUUUUAAAAAUUUCAAUUAUUUAAUUUAAUUCGAUUUUAAUAAAAAAAUAAAAAAAUAAAACUGAAUAUAUUAUUUUUUAAUAAUAUAAAAAUUAAAUCAUAAUUAAAAUUAAAAUAUUUUAAUUAAAAUUUAAAAUAUUAAAAAUAAAAUAUAAAAAAUAAAAAAAUUAUUAAAAAUUUAAAUUCAUCGAAUUCAACCGAAUAAAUUCAAUUAAAUUUUAAUUAAUUUAAUUUUUAUAAAUAUUAAAAAUUUAAUUUUAAUUUAUUUAAUUCUAUUAAUUUUAAACCAACCCCACGUAAUAUUUAACCUUAUUUCACACUUUGCUUAUGCACGAAAGUCUGCAAUUUUCAGUCUACAAUUUGACAUCAUCUCCAUGUUUUUGCUUCCUCAAUCACACUGACAUUGACAUUGACUUCCUACAGUAAAUAAAUUAAAUAAUUCAGAAAUCAUUUAAAAUUUAUUUAAAUAAAUAACUAAAAUUAAGUUUAAUAGGCUCAUUUAUUAUUAUCUAAAUUUGAAUUUAUUGAUAUUUGAUUUAUCAAUGCUCAUGAGUCUGUGAGCUACUUUAUUAAUACACGCUUUUAAAUGAAAUACUUCGUACUAAGUAAACUUCCUUGCAUUUUUCCAAUCUGACAAUAAGCUUCAUUUAGUUUAAACUAUUUAAUGCAAGGUAGUUGAUUAAUUAGAAAUUCUUUCUCUUUCUUAAAUUUCUAUAAAUUAAUUAAUUAAAUUAUUAAUUUAAAAAUAAUGUAGUUUCAUUGGUUAAUAUGUUUUAUUAUUUUAUUAUUAUUAAAAUAUUUUGAGUGAAUCAAUUUAAAAGAGAAUAACUACCUAAUCACUUAUUUAUUUUUAUUGACCUGUAAUAAUUUAAAUUGCGGAGACUACUAAAUUAUCCGUGUGAGGUGGUACUCUAGGCUGAUUGUGUGAUUUUUCGUAGCUAAUAAAAAAUUUUAAAGAUAAAAUUGGCCGUCAGACGAAGCCAAGCUUUCUAAAGUCCUGUGUUGAUCUAUAAAGACCAUAAAGCAUACCAGUUGGUUUGAUUCAGAGAAAAAAAAACAAUUCUGCCUCUAUAUCCUCUUUGAGGUGAAGUGUCGUUCGAGUUCAGUCAUCAGUGAGUAGUUAGCCAUGGGAAGAGCCCCAUGUUGUGAUAAAGCUAACGUGAAGAGAGGACCAUGGUCUGCUGAGGAAGACGCCACUCUCAAGAACUAUCUUCAAAAACAUGGCACUGGUGGCAAUUGGAUUUCUUUGCCUCGCAAAGCAGGUCCCCUCUCUUCCGCUUUUAAUUCUCAUCUUUCGAAACCAAGCUUUAAACAGAAACCUGUAUAAUUGUUUAUUCUUUUCAUUCUUUUUCCUCUGUAAAUCUCGCAAUUUUUAGGUUGAUAGCUUGAAGGUUGUUUUAUGGUUCAGGCCUUAAAAGAUGUGGCAAGAGUUGUCGUUUAAGAUGGUUGAAUUAUCUGAGACCAGACAUCAAGCAUGGAGGCUUUACAGAAGAAGAAGAUGACCUUAUCUGUUCCCUCUAUAGUAGCAUGGGAAGUAGGCAAGUCUCUCUCUCUCUCUCUCUCUAUAUAUAUAUAAAUAUAUAGUUGAUCUUGUCGAUAGACUAAUAAUUUAUGCAUACAACGUGGAUUAAUUAGGUGGUCUGUUAUAGCCUCGCGGCUGCCGGGAAGGACAGACAACGAUGUUAAGAACUACUGGAACACCAAGUUAAAGAAAAAGAUGUUGGAAGGAAAGCUUGAUGCAAAGAAAAGCAGCAAAAUCAGAAACAAAAUUGAUAUAUCCAUUAACAACUGUAAUGAUCCUGUGGUACAAUUUUCAGCUUUCUCCGUUCCAGAAUCUGAAACUUAUAAUCCUGGAAAUUCAUCACCUUGCUUCAGUGCAUAUUCUACCACCUUGCCACCUCUCAUGGAGAUGGGCAGUUUCCAACAAUGUUGCGAUCCACAAUUUCAAGGGCUGAUUCUGAACCAGACCCAAUUUCCUAUUUCAAGUUUUAUGGAAGUUCCAAGUUUUGGGACAUCUGGGUGUGACAGUUACAGCGUAUCAUCGUCUCAUCAGGAAGCUUCAAGCCUAGUGCCUUCGGACAGCAACCGUUACUCCAUAAGCUCAGGCAAUGGAAGCCUAGUAAAAGACAAUGGAUUUGAGUUUCUUUAUGAUGAGCUGCUUAAUGAUCUUGGUUUUCAAGGAAAAUUUAGUCCUGAAGUUGCUCCAUUUUUAGGUAACAACUAAUGAUCAUCUUCCAUCCCUUAGCUAAUCAUCUGGCUAGCUAGCUAACAGUUCUAAACACUAAUGCAUAAAAUUUUUCUUUGUAAACGCAAUACUUUGAAAUAAUAAGUUGGAUGGGUUUGCUGUUCGAAAUAUUAAUAGAAUUAUAUAUGUUACUCAAUGGAUUUAGUUUUGAUAGAAUUUAAAUUCAAGAGUAUAUAAGAUUUAUUUUUUACUAGUCUAAUCUUUUUGAUAUUUAAGAAUUGAAUUUUUAACAUUUAUUCAGUAUUUAGACUUGUUGAUAGAAUUGAUCUCAUAAUAUCUAUAUAGCAAUAUAAGAUUCGACGAACGAGCUGAUGUCCUUUAUUAUUUUCUUCGCUCUAACCUUAAUUGAUUUUUAAUUAAAAAUCACAUUUACUAUAAAGUUAUUUGAGUGAAUUGAUAUUCUUACUCAGUAUUUAGUAGAUUAAUACGAUCUAACAUAUCAAUUAAAUUCAAAAACUAAAUAAUAAAUUGAUUGAAUAUUUAAUUUGAUUUAGGCUAAAACACUUCCUUUUAAAACGUUUUAUAUUUAUAUUUAGAAUUUGAGUGGGAAACAACCUUAUUAAAAGUGAAGAGAUCUAUCAUCUCAUUUUGUACGUUGAAUGUUGAUAAAGCUUCCUUAAUUUGGAAGCUUUGAUGAGUGGGACUCAUAAUUUUUUAUCCGUUAAUAUAGAUUUCCACUGUAUACUUUGAUAAAAAAGUUUCAAAUUUGUAUGGCUAAUUAAUUAGGUUGAUGUCACAUUAAUUUGAAAUUAACCUCAUUUUGUAAGUGGACGUGAAGUCCCAUGCAUAACACAUGAAGGUUAAAUCAUUAACAUGACUAUAUAAAAUGUUUUGCCAAUUUAUGUAGAAAGCCUUAAGAUUCAUUUUAUAUAACUAUUAAAUAUUGAUUAUUUAUCAUAAUAUUUAUAAUAAAAUCAUUAUAUAUAUAAUAAUUGUGUUGUAAUUUUUUUUAUUUUAAUAUUAAUCAUAAUGAUUUAUUUUUUUAAUUCAUUUUUUAAUAUCAUGAGGUUGUCAUAAGUGGAAGUGAGCAGGUUCAAAUUUCACAUUUAUAAUGAAUAGUCUAUAUGUAAAAUUCAAAUUAGUAAAAUCUCGUAACUUAGUAUAUUAAGUGAAUAAAUGGGAAAGGAUAUAACAUCCACACGAAUCGAAAUUAUCUGUAAUAGUUAACACUAAAUUAUUAAAUAAUUUGAACUAAUUAUUUUGGAUUAAGUGAAAAGUUGCUCAAAAAAUUAUUUGGAUCAGUUUAGAUCGAAUUAUUUCAAUUAGUAUUAGAAUCACCUUAUAUCAGAAAAAUUAUACAGAGUUAGUGGACUUGCAAAAAAAGAGCACUAUCCGUGUGAAAUGAGAUAGAGACGCUCGAGAUACUAGUGAAUCACAAUACCCAAAAAUUCAGUUUUGAUUUAAUAAUGAUAACUGAAGAUAGAGACGCUCGAGGUACUAGUGAAUCACAAUACCCAAAAAUUCAGUUUUGAUUUAAUAAUGAUAUCCGAUUCAGUUGUAUCUAAUUUAGUUGCGAUGAGAAUAUCGCAAAUUUAACAGUGAAGAAUGUAAUAUUCGGUUGUCUCUUCAGGAAAGGAUCCAUAUCGACAAUUUACGGUAAAUCGAAAUUGUAUAUAAUAACUGACACGAAACAACUAAAUAACUUGCAUUAACUAUUUUAGAUUAAAUAAAAAAUGAAUUUAAAAAUUACGUUAAUUAUUUUAGAUCAAAUAAAAAAUAAAUUUAAAAAUUAUUUGAAUUAGUUUGAAUUGAGGUGUUUUAUAAAAAAUAUUAAAAUUUUAAAGUAGAUUGAAUUCAAAUCGUAGACUAAUGAAACUUUAAUUAAUUUACUAGGAAAAUAUUGAAUAAUAUAAUAAUGGCCAAACUUUGAAGGAUGGGAGUUUUGAUUUUUUUACAAAGUUAUGGACGACAGGCAGUAUUAUUACUUUGGAGAAUAGAAUUUGUUUAUCCAUGUGUUUCGUAUGUAUUAUUGGAUUUCUAUAAUUUAAAUUUGUUUAUAGAAAUAAUUAAAUAAAUAUAAAAUAUAUACUCUUUAUAAUAAUAGUUAAAUUUUUUUACAACUUACUGUGGGUUUUGCAAAGAAUAAUCGUGUUGCAAAGAAUUUUUGGGCAUUCGAUGGUCAAAAAGAAACUUCCAAUGCAUGAUGGUUCAUUGAAGUUCAUCCACAUGCUUUAAUUUAUAAUUAAUUUGCCUUCGUUGAAUGGUCAGUUUGAAUUCUCACUCUCUCCCAUUUUCUCAGUUUUCAUUUUCAACAUUCUAAAACGUGCCAACCUACAGACUGCAGUCUCCGAUAUUUUAUCUGAUACUCUAAUUAUAUGAAACCCAUUAACGUCAAUAAUUAUAUUUAGGGGAUAGCAUAUUUUGGUCUAAAUCGAAAAAUCGAAUCGAACCGGUUGAUUUUAAUUUUUUGAAAUAAUCGAUUUAGUUCGGUUAUUAUAUUUAAAAUUAUUCAAUUUUCGGUUCGGUUCGGUUUAAACAUGUUAAAUAACUGAUCAAAUCGAAAAAUUGAUUUAGUGGCUAGGCCCAAGCCCCUCAAGCCUCUCGUACCUAACCCAGCACCCCAACCCUCCAUCUCUUUCGGCCCCAAGCCCAACCCAGUAGAUUUCGGUUUGAAUCGAAUCGAAUCGAACCGAUUUUUAUCGGUUCGAUUCGAUUCGAUUAUAUCUUCAUAAUCAGUUUUUUCGAUUCUUAAAAUUUUAACAUUUCGAUUUUCGAUUUUAUCGGUUUGGUUCGAUUUGAAACCGAACCGACCGAUUGCACAGCCCUAAUUAUAAUAAAAUAUUAUAUAUAUUAUUGUAAAAUUUUCAUUAUAAUAUAUAUAUAUAUAUAUUAUAAUGAAAAUUUAUUAUAUAUAUAUAUUAUUGUAAUUUUUUUUAAAUUUAUAAUUAAGCAGAAUGUUACCUUUGUUUAUUUAAAAUAAAAAAUUUCAUAAGAAUUUAAUUAAUUUAAUUUUUUUAUAUUAAAAUUUUUAUUUAGAAUGAAAAAAAAAUAUUUUUUAAUUUAUAAAUUUUUAUUUUUAAAAUAAUAAAAUUAUGCUGAUUUUAUUAAAAUUUAUCAAAAUUAUUUUUUAUAAAAUAAAUUAUAUUAAAUGGAAAGUUUAGCGUUUCGAUUAUAAUUUCUGUACGUUCAAGUUCAUUAAAUGGAAUCUCAUGUUNNNNNNNNNNNNNNNNNNNNNNNNNNNNNNNNNNNNNNNNNNNNNNNNNNNNNNNCUGCCUCUCAGUUUUAUUUCUGCAAUUUUUUCAAGAUAAAAGUUUUUUAAGACCUUCCCUAUUACUAUAUUGAUUAAGUAUUUAAAUAUUCAUUAUGCUCACAAUUUAAGUUGGGAAUAUCUAUUUUCAGAAAAAAAAAUUAUUUCAUAACUAAUUCAUGGUUCCAAACCAAUAUAAUAAAAUUGAAAAAUCUACAUUAGAAUUUUCAAAUAUUUGCAUAUUCAAACUAUAGAUUGACAAUCAAAUAUUAGAAACCAUGUAUUCAUCCAUAUUAAUUAUAUGUAUGACAAAAAUCUACACGGCUGUUUUACAAUAAAUCAAUAAAAAAUUUUAAACUUAAUAAAUUUAAAUAUAAUUUAAUUUUUAAUAAACAAUAAUUCAUCAAAAUGGACUAUCCAAAACACAGUUAUUCAAAAAGGAGAAAUAACACUUUAGAUUUAGAAUGUCCCAUCCGGUCCAACUAGAUUGGGUCGAGGCCCAAGCCUCAUGUAAGAGUCUAUCCAGCGGCUGCCGUUGUGGGAAGGUACCUGCCCUUGGGCUGCUGGCUGCAGUACGUGGGAGUAAUUCUCUUCCCCUGCAUGCUGCAUGGGAGGUGGCCAUCAUCCAAUUUGCUUAUUCAUCCAUACCCUAACAGCAUCUGCAGCACCAGCCCAGAGGAUUGGGCUUACGGUCUCAUGCAAAGGCUGUCACUUCUCCCAUUUUCUUGCUCUUAUUCAUUGCAGCAUCAAAAUUUAUAUUCAUGAAAGAAGGAUGAAAUUGCUUAUGAAUUGUGUGCAUUUUUGGGUUCUGUCAACUUCCAAACUCAACCAAUUUGUUGAGCAAUCUAUACUAGUGAUGAUGGAAGUUUAAGUGGGGAGUGGAGCAGCUUGAGCUUGAGACCUUGAGUGAUUCAACUUGUCCACAGAAGAUGGUUUCCUUUGAGAAAGUGGGAAGCCUCUUCCUUAAAAUUAACUAGACUCGCAAACCCUAUUUGCAUUAUUUCAACAACAAAACUGACAGGCCGCAAGGAAUUUGAGGCAUGUUUUUUGAAGGGCUAGUGUCCUCACAUUUGUGGUCCCACCAAUCCAACACUGAACAAAAAGUUUAUGCAUUUUUUUUUAUCAAUUUGUUAAAAGUAAAAUAUUUUCAAUAAAUAUAUUUAUUAUAUUUAUAGAAAUCAACUCUUAAUCUCGCUUAAAAAAUAAAAAUAUCAAAUUACUAAUAGUAACACUUUAAAAUUAUAAAUAAUUGUAAAUUAAAUAUUUUUAUCAAGAUUUAUGUAUACUUCAUUAAAUAAAUUUGCAAAUGAAAAGAAAGAAGAAGAAGAUAUUCUUUAUGUGGUUCUGUGCUUUUAACUGUUCUGCCCUUUUAAAAUGUUAGUGCUAUGAAUUUUCUCGUGCGCACUUACUGUGUUUCACUUUUUGAAAAAUCGAGCUUAGUGGUCGAUAUAAAAUGCUUUCCUCAGUGAACUUUUAUGGGAGAUAUAAUAUGGAAUCUCUCAAAUUAUAUAAAUGUAUUUUUUUAAAAAGUUUUAUUAUUAAUUAUUAAAUAUAUCUUUAUAAAAUCAUGGUUAAUAUAAAAAUAUUUUUUUAACCGGAACUCCGAUAAUAUUACUGAACAAUCUUAACACUUAUCUUCUUAUAGAUGUUGUAUAAGAGAGUUUUCCUUAAUAUGAUCUUAACAUUGGAAGAAGGGUUAUUAUGUCAGAUUGGGUAUUUUUAGUUCUAUGGUCGAUGAAGUACAAGCUCCGGGUAAUGAGUUGCGGCUUGCUUGAGAUGGAUUCUAAAGUCGUCGUUGAUUUUUUGAAUGAAGGAAAGAUAGCUAAUUUGAGCUUGAGUCAUCUUUUUCGAUAAUGCAGGUGUCUGUUAGAGCGUUUUUGAGAAGUUAGCAUUGUAUAUCCUAGAAUGAUAAAGUCAAGAGUUUAACCUUUUUUUUUUUUUUUGAAUUCUUCUCCUUCAGAGAAUUAAAAAAAAGUUGUGGAGCAAGUUUUAAAGUUAAGAUAUAAAGCACUUGCGUUUUGGAAAUGAGAUUGAGGCUGAUGGCUGAGUAUCAUUAUUAAUUAUUUUUGUCCAUUGAGUGGUUACUGGUUAUCGAGUUCCAUAAUUC
rnacentral:lncRNA from 1 species